rnacentral:rRNA from 1 species
AAUUGGCCGCUUUAUUAAUGAUUCUUUUUAGAUCUUUCUUUUUUGCUUCGGCAUUUUAGGAGAUCUUGUAACUAUGAGUAAAUUAGAAUGUUUAAAACAAACAGAUUAUAGCAUCUUUAUGCGUUUGAAUACUACAGCAUGGAAUAACAAAAUUGAACAAGUCAGAAUUUUGUUCUUUUUUCUUAUUUUGGCUUAGUUACGAUUAAUAGGAGUAGCUUGGGGGCAUUUGUAUUCAGAUGUCAGAGGUGAAAUUCUUAGAUUUUCUGGAGACAAACAACUGCGAAAGCAUUUGCCUAAAAUACUUCCAUUAAUCAAGAACGAAAGUUAAGGGAGUGAAGACGAUCAGAUACCGUCGUAAUCUUAACCAUAAACUAUGCCGACUAGGCUUUGGAUGAAAGAUGGAGAAUCCAAGGUUCCUGCCGA